rnacentral:rRNA from 1 species
AGUGAACGCUGGCGGCAGGCCUAACACAUGCAAGUCGAACGGCAGCACAAGAGAGCUUGCUCUCUGGGUGGCGAGUGGCGGACGGGUGAGGAAUGCAUCGGAAUCUGCCCAUUUGUGGGGGAUAACCUCGGGAAACCGGGACUAAUACCGCAUACGACCUACGGGUGAAAGCAGGGGAUCUUCGGACCUUGCGCAGAUGGGUGAGCCGAUGCCGGAUUAGCUAGUUGGAGGGGUAAAGGCCCACCAAGGCGACGAUCCGUAGCUGGUCUGAGAGGAUGAUCAGCCACACUGGGACUGAGACACGGCCCAGACUCCUACGGGAGGCAGCAGUGGGGAAUAUUGGACAAUGGGCGCAAGCCUGAUCCAGCCAUGCCGCGUGUGUGAAGAAGGCCUUCGGGUUGUAAAGCACUUUUGUUGGGAAAGAAAAGCAGCCGGUUAAUACCCGGUUGUCAUGACGGUACCCAAAGAAUAAGCACCGGCUAACUUCGUG